rnacentral:sRNA from 1 species
UAUCCAACGGGCUACGAAAGGGUGCCAAGAAAUACCCGGACUACAUCCAGAUUUCCAUGCCCAAUGACUCCAGGAACAAGCUUCCCCUAGAGUGGUGGAAAACAGGCAUUGCCUUUGUGUACGCUCUCUUCAACCUUAUCCUGACAACAGUCAUGAUCACCGUUGUGCACGAGAGGGUCCCUCCCAAGGAACUCAGCCCUCCACUCCCAGACAAGUUUUUUGAUUACGUCGACCGGGUCAAAUGGGCAUUUUCUGUAUCAGAAAUAAAUGGGAUGGUAUUAGUUGGGCUAUGGCUCACCCAGUGGCUCUUUCUGAGAUACAAGUCAAUAGUGGGACGCAGAUUCUUCUUUAUCAUGGGAACUUUAUACCUGUAUCGCUGUAUAACUAUGUACGUCACUACGUUACCUGUGCCCGGAAUGCACUUCCAGUGUGCUCCAAAGAAGGGACAAUACCAUCCUCUGUGGGAAGGAGAACCAGCUUCCUUGUGGUGACUACACAGCAGACCAGAAGGCCACCGUCUACGAUUCAUAUCAGCACACACAGUCUAUCCUAAGAGUCCAUGUUGAUCUUGGAAGUAGAGAGGUUUAAAAGAAGUUCCCACAGAAACCAAGAGCCUUACCAUCUCCUUUAGCUCCGAAGGCUGGCGGACAAUGGAUAUCAUAGAGACAGCAAAACUUGAAGGUCAUUUGGAAAGUCAAACCAACAACUCUACCAACACUUACACAAGCCCCACUGAAGCUGUAGAAGAGGAGGACAAAAAUGGCAAGGGUAAACCCAAGACCU